rnacentral:lncRNA from 1 species
GGGUCCUCCCACCCCCGCGUGGGCCAUCCCGGCCCAGCCUUCCCGAGGCCCCGGGUACUCGCCUUGCGCUCGGGUCGCGGAGUUCGAAAAGCGAGGCAGGGUCUCACUUUGUCACCCAGGCUGGAGUGUAGUGAGGCAAUCUCAGCUCAUUGCGCCUCCGCCUCUGGGUCCAAGCUAUCCUCCCACGUCAGCCUCCCAGGUAGCUGGGAUUACAGGCGCGCACCAUCAGCCAAGGCAUAGUCUCAUCACUCUGUCACCCAGGCUGGAAUGUAGUAGUGCAAUCUCGGCUCUCUGCAACCUUCACCUCCUGGAUUCAAGUGAUUCUCCUGCCUCAGCCUCCUGAGUAGCUGGGAUUACAGGGUGUGGUGAGUGAAAUGGAGAAGGCUAAACUUUUUCUUCCCACAUGCUCACUUCCUUGCUUGUUCGCUAGCUGCUGCAUCUGGCCCCUCAAGGGUAAAGUCAAGGGGAAAAGGAGAUUGAGAGGAAGGACAGUCUGUGAAUUGGGUCUCACCGUGUUUCCCAGGCUGAAGUACAGUGUUGUGAUAUCAGUUCAUUGCAACUUCUGUCUUCUGAGCUCAAGCAAUCCUCUUGCCUCAGCCUCUCAAGUAGCUGGGACUGACUACAGGCAUGAACCACCACACCUGGCUAAUUUUUUUUGUAUUUUUGUCGAAAAGACAGUUUCGCCAUGUUGUACAGGGCGAGGGAUAUUUCUGCUGACAAUUCAACAUUCAAAGGGAUGAGUGUAUGACGUCUCUAAGAGAUGUCAUGGAGUGCAUGUAGAAGGGACUUUUUAUGGAGGACUACUUCUCAAAUCACUAUUCACAUCCUGGUAGAAGUCAAGCAAUGAAGAUGGCACAGAAACACAUCCCAAAUACUAUGAUACCAUAAAGUAUACUGUAGCAAUGCAUUGGCACACCCUCAUUUGAACAUUUGUCUCAGAAGAUUUUGACAGAAGAUAAAAUUGUCUGGUUUUUAUUUCAUUGGUUUCAUGAAAAUUUAUUUCACUGGUUUCAUGUCACAGGCCCAUGACUGUAUAAAGAGUCAUAAUCUUUACAAACACAACAAUGACUCACAGCGACAUGUUGCAAAGCUGUAAUCGAAAACACUGAUGUUGAUUUCAGAGGCCAUUAAUGGUGUUAAGAAGGCGCUUUUGUUAACCAAAUAAUUGAAUACUCGUAAUUACUUUUCAGUUCUAGUUCAGUUCUUGACACCAAAACAAGCCAUUUUCUUUACAUAGUGAAUGCAGAACUUGCCAGUAAGAACUUUCAUACUAAACUUCUAUGUAAAACAAAACAUGUCAAAAUCAGUAACUACUUUAAUGGAAUGGUAAAGAAUUUACUUAAACACAAAGGAAUGAAAAUAUCUCUGCAAAUAUGUCUAUUGACUUUUCAAAUUUGGUGACUUCUUUCGAAUUAAUUCCCUUACGUCUGUUCCUCAUCCACAUAAAAAUGACAAAAAUGAAAGAUAAUUUUCCAGCCUAUAAUUAAAUUUCUCCAUUGUUGGUAUAUGUUUUUUCAAAUACAUUUUUCAGUUUUCAUAAUUCAUAUGAGAAUUAUUAAAAGGGAGUUAGUUGCCUUUAGGACCUUAUUUGGAGCCUAAUUCUUAAAAAUUGUGUAAAAAUAAUUGUGACUUUUAAGAGACAAUUGGAAAUUUGAACCUGACCACAUUUUUGUGAUAUUAAGGAAUUUUAUUAAUUAUUUUCUAGGUGGGGGAAUGAUAUGAUGAUAUUCUUAAAAUAAUGUGUGGAUUGUUUAUUACAUUUCAACAUUUUCUUAAUCAUCAAAC